rnacentral:misc_RNA from 1 species
UUUCCGUAGGUGAACCUGCGGAAGGAUCAUUAACGUAUCUUCAGGCGCCCGUCCGCGGGCCCAGCUCCGGCCGCGAGGUCGUGCAGCGGGCUUUCGGCGGCGCCCAACCUUCACAAACCCACCGUGCACCUUUGCGGGAGAGGCUUGCCGGGCGAGAGCUCGGUCGGCCGAUCCCGCUCCAAACAAACACUAGUUACAAGAAUGUGAUGCGGCCUUUGCGUCGCCUAAUGACAUGACAACUUUCAACAACGGAUCUCUUGGCUCUC